rnacentral:rRNA from 1 species
GAUAAACGCUAGCGGCAGGCCUAACACAUGCAAGUCGAGGGGUAUAGUAGCAAUACUAGAGACCGGCAGACGGGUGCGUAACGCGUAUGCAACCUGCCCUUUACACGGGGAUAGCCCAGCGAAAGUUGGAUUAAUACCCGAUAGUAUUAUGAAGUCGCAUGAUUUUAUAAUUAAAGCUCCGGCGGUAAAGGAUGGGCAUGCGUGACAUUAGCUAGUUGGUAAGGUAACGGCUUACCAAGGCAACGAUGUCUAGGGGAUCUGAGAGGAUAAUCCCCCACACUGGCACUGAGACACGGGCCAGACUCCUACGGGAGGCAGCAGUGAGGAAUAUUGGUCAAUGGAUGCAAGUCUGAACCAGCCAUGCCGCGUGAAGGAUGACUGCCCUAUGGGUUGUAAACUUCUUUUGUAGAAGGCGAAACGCACAUCUAGAAUGUGAACUGACGGUACUCUACGAAUAAGCAUCGGCUAACUCCGUGCCAGCAGCCGCGGUAAUACGGAGGAUGCGAGCGUUAUCCGGAUUUAUUGGGUUUAAAGGGUUCGUAGGCGGCUUUAUAAGUCAGCGGUGAAAUACCAGGGCUUAACUCUGGGGCUGCCGUUGAUACUGUUAAGCUUGAGUAGGAUCGACGAUGGCGGAAUGAGACAAGUAGCGGUGAAAUGCAUAGAUAUGUCUCAGAACACCGAUAGCGUAGGCAGCUGUCGAGGUCAUCUACUGACGCUGAGGAACGAAAGCGUGGGGAUCAAACAGGAUUAGAUACCCUGGUAGUCCACGCCGUAAACGAUGAUAACUGGAUGUUCGGUAUUUAUAUCGAGCGUCUGAGGGAAACCAUUAAGUUAUCCACCUGGGGAGUACGGUCGCAAGACUG